rnacentral:rRNA from 1 species
GACGAACGCUGGCGGCGCGCUUAACACAUGCAAGUCGAGCGAAGCGGCGGACGGGUGAGUAACACGUGAGUAACCUGCCUUAGACAUUGGGAUAGCCUCGGGAAACCGGGAUUAAUACCAAAUGGUCUAAGAUGGACUCGCGUCCCAUUAGCUAGUUGGUGGGUAACGGCCCACCAAGGCGACGAUGGGUAGCCGGCCUGGGAGGGUGAACGGCCACAUUGGAACUGAGAAACGGUCCAAACUCUACGGGAGGCAGCAGUGGGGAAUAUUGCACAAGGGAGGGAACUCUGAUGCAGCGACGCCGCGUGAACGAAGAAGGUAUUCGUAUCGUAAAGUUCUGUCCUAUGGGAAGCAGUACCAUAGAAGAAAGCUCCGGCUAAAUACGUGCCAGCCGCCGCGGUAAUUC